rnacentral:rRNA from 1 species
GUGGGGAAUUGUUCGCAAUGGGCGCAAGCCUGACGACGCAACGCCGCGUGGAGGAUGAAGGUCUUCGGAUUGUAAACUCCUGUUGAUCGGGAAGAAUUUCUCUGGGGCUAAUAUCCUUGGAGAGUGACGGUACCGAUUGAGGAAGCCCCGGCUAACUCUGUGCCAGCAGCCGCGGUAAUACAGAGGGGGCAAGCGUUGUUCGGAAUUACUGGGCGUAAAGGGCGCGUAGGCGGCCGACUAAGUCAGACGUGAAAUCCCAUGGCUCAACCAUGGAACUGCGUCUGAUACUGGACGGCUUGAGUUCGGGAGAGGGAAGUGGAAUUCCAGGUGUAGCGGUGAAAUGCGUAGAUAUCUGGAGGAACACCGGUGGCGAAGGCGGCUUCCUGGACCGACACUGACGCUGAGGCGCGAAAGCCAGGGGAGCAAACGGGAUUAGAAACCCUUGUAGUCC